rnacentral:rRNA from 1 species
GUGUGACUGCGUACCUUUUGUAUAAUGGGUCAGCGACUUAUAUUCUGUAGCAAGGUUAACCGAAUAGGGGAGCCGAAGGGAAACCGAGUCUUAACUGGGCGUUAAGUUGCAGGGUAUAGACCCGAAACCCGGUGAUCUAGCCAUGGGCAGGUUGAAGGUUGGGUAACACUAACUGGAGGACCGAACCGACUAAUGUUGAAAAAUUAGCGGAUGACUUGUGGCUGGGGGUGAAAGGCCAAUCAAACCGGGAGAUAGCUGGUUCUCCCCGAAAGCUAUUUAGGUAGCGCCUCGUGAAUUCAUCUCCGGGGGUAGAGCACUGUUUCGGCAAGGGGGUCAUCCCGACUUACCAACCCGAUGCAAACUGCGAAUACCGGAGAAUGUUAUCACGGGAGACACACGGCGGGUGCUAACGUCCGUCGUGAAGAGGGAAACAACCCAGACCGCCAGCUAAGGUCCCAAAGUCAUGGUUAAGUGGGAAACGAUGUGGGAAGGCCCAGACAGCCAGGAUGUUGGCUUAGAAGCAGCCAUCAUUUAAAGAAAGCGUAAUAGCUCACUGGUCGAGUCGGCCUGCGCGGAAGAUGUAACGGGGCUAAACCAUGCACCGAAGCUGCGGCAGCGACGCUUAUGCGUUGUUGGGUAGGGGAGCGUUCUGUAAGCCUGCGAAGGUGUGCUGUGAGGCAUGCUGGAGGUAUCAGAAGUGCGAAUGCUGACAUAAGUAACGAUAAAGCGGGUGAAAAGCCCGCUCGCCGGAAGACCAAGGGUUCCUGUCCAACGUUAAUCGGGGCAGGGUGAGUCGACCCCUAAGGCGAGGCCGAAAGGCGUAGUCGAUGGGAAACAGGUUAAUAUUCCUGUACUUGGUGUUACUGCGAAGGGGGGACGGAGAAGGCUAUGUUGGCCGGGCGACGGUUGUCCCGGUUUAAGCGUGUAGGCUGGUUUUCCAGGCAAAUCCGGAAAAUCAAGGCUGAGGCGUGAUGACGAGGCACUACGGUGCUGAAGCAACAAAUGCCCUGCUUCCAGGAAAAGCCUCUAAGCAUCAGGUAACAUCAAAUCGUACCCCAAACCGACACAGGUGGUCAGGUAGAGAAUACCAAGGCGCUUGAGAGAACUCGGGUGAAGGAACUAGGCAAAAUGGUGCCGUAACUUCGGGAGAAGGCACGCUGAUAUGUAGGUGAAGUCCCUCGCGGAUGGAGCUGAAAUCAGUCGAAGAUACCAGCUGGCUGCAACUGUUUAUUAAAAACACAGCACUGUGCAAACACGAAAGUGGACGUAUACGGUGUGACGCCUGCCCGGUGCCGGAAGGUUAAUUGAUGGGGUUAGCGCAAGCGAAGCUCUUGAUCGAAGCCCCGGUAAACGGCGGCCGUAACUAUAACGGUCCUAAGGUAGCGAAAUUCCUUGUCGGGUAAGUUCCGACCUGCACGAAUGGCGUAAUGAUGGCCAGGCUGUCUCCACCCGAGACUCAGUGAAAUUGAACUCGCUGUGAAGAUGCAGUGUACCCGCGGCAAGACGGAAAGACCCCGUGAACCUUUACUAUAGCUUGACACUGAACAUUGAGCCUUGAUGUGUAGGAUAGGUGGGAGGCUUUGAAGUGUGGACGCCAGUCUGCAUGGAGCCGACCUUGAAAUACCACCCUUUAAUGUUUGAUGUUCUAACGUUGACCCGUAAUCCGGGUUGCGGACAGUGUCUGGUGGGUAGUUUGACUGGGGCGGUCUCCUCCUAAAGAGUAACGGAGGAGCACGAAGGUUGGCUAAUCCUGGUCGGACAUCAGGAGGUUAGUGCAAUGGCAUAAGC